AGUGAACGCUGGCGGCGUGCUUAACACAUGCAAGUCGAACGGUAACAGGAACUAGCUUGCUAGUUUGCUGACGAGUGGCGCACGGGUGAGUAAUAUAUAGUUAAUGUACCCCAAAGACUGGGAUAGCCACUGGAAACGGUGAUUAAUACUAGAUACACCUCUUUAACAUAAGUUAGAGAGGGAAAUGUCUUUUCGCUUUGGGAUCAGACUAUAUCCUAUCAGUUAGUUGGUGAGGUAAUGGCUCACCAAGGCAAUGACGGGUAGCGGGUUUGAGAGGAUGAUCCGCCACACUGGUACUGAGACACGGACCAGACUCCUACGGGAGGCAGCAGUGAGGAAUAUUGCACAAUGGAGGAAACUCUGAUGCAGCAACGCCGCGUGGAGGAUGACGCAUUUCGGUGUGUAAACUCCUUUUAAUGAGUCAAGAAAAUGACGGUAGCUCAUGAAUAAGCACCGGCUAACUCCGUGCCAGCAGCCGACGG
rnacentral:rRNA from 1 species